GACCCAAUAACUUGAUCAACGGACUAAGUUACCAUAGGGAUAACAGCGCAAUCCUAUUUUAGAGUCCAUAUCGGCAAUAGGGUUUACGACCUCGAUGUUGGAUAAAGACAUCCUAAUGGUGCAGACGCUAUUAAGCGUUCGUUUGCUCAACGAUUAAAGUCUUACGUGAUCUGAGUUCAGACUGGAGAAAUCCAGGUCGGUU
rnacentral:ncRNA from 1 species